rnacentral:lncRNA from 1 species
UAGCAUGCUCGCCUGGCAUGCCUGCGGCCCGGGUUCAAUCCUCAGCAACACAUACAAACAAAGAUGUUGUGUCCGCCGAAAACUAAAAAAUAAAUAUUAAAAAAGAAAAAGAAAUGCAGGCAGGAUUCAGAAAUAAUGGGAAAGCAGGAAAUAUAGGCUUUAGAAAGGACAGGUACCAGUGUAGAUCCUUGGGUGCAAGCACCAAGAAUCAAUGGGUAAUCUCUUAAGGAUACUGCAGUUUUGGUUGACCUCUGACCAUUCUCAAGAACAUUCAAGAUUGAAAUUCUGAUGCUGUGUUUCUCGACUCGUGUAAAAGAAUUGGCUGUGAUUAUAUCCAACAGAGAGCCAUAGUUUGCCAAAGCCAGAUGAGAAGCCAUGACUAGGAAAAAGGGAAUGGAGGUCGAGCAGGCAAAAAUGACAGAGGUUAUGACAGUGGAGGGUGUGGUUAUAUGCUAGACCCUGUAGCAUGGGGAGCCAAUGUUGUUUUUUUUUUUUUUCUUUUUACAUAUACAUAUAUAUUUAGUUGUAGAUGGACACAAUAUCUUUAUUUUUAUUUAUUUUUAUGUGGUGCUGAGGAUCGAACCCAGGGUCUCAUGCAUGCAAGGCAAACACUCUACCACUGAGCUAUAACCCCAGCUCACCCAAUGUUGGUUCUUGAGUCAUUAACUCAUUCUUUUAGCAAAUAGUUGCUGAACUGUGCAUUGCAUUUUGGAGGACACUGAAGAAGUAUAAUAAUGACCUUUAAGAGUGGUGGGAAAGGGUGCUUGGAAUUUACCCAAGAGGACCUGGAAUGGGAUUGUAUUUGCUUUUAAUUUGAGUCAUUAAACUAUAUCUGGGCAUAUGCAACUGUAGCUCAUUUAGGAAAGAUAUUAAGUAAUUCUCUAAUUAUAUGUAUUACACUGUGGACAGAGGAUCCUGAGAAAAGUGACUUCUCUCGCAUGUCAAGAGGCAGAACUAAAGCAGGAUUUGACUUUCUGACUUGAGAAGCUGUUCUGAACUAGCCGCCUAGCAUAUUUUAGGAGCUGCUCUGACAGGGCCUUGGCACCUGGCUCCCCCUAACCAUGAACUUGUCAAGGGCAGGGACUCUAUGUUUCUCCCAGGGACUUGCAUGGCACUGGAUGCUCAGAAGACAGAUAUGCAGCGAGAAGUCCCCAUUUACAGCUUCUAUGGAGGAAGCUGAGCCUAUCUCUGCUUUAGAUGAAGACUUUAGCUGAGGAGUGUGGAAAACAUCCCAACUCUUGUCAGCAAAGCCUGGUCUAGGGGCAUAGAGAGAACUUAUUUCAGAGAAGAAGAAUUCAGAGACUUUUUGUAAUAAGGGGUUGACCUGUAAGCUUCCUGGUGUUCAGGUUGGACAAUUUAUCCAUCUCAAUGUGCACGUUAUUACUCUGGCAAAUAAUGAAACAUUAUGAUCUCACAAAGCAAACCAGUGAGUGUAAUUGUCUCCAUUCAUUUCUCCCCUUGUCUAUGGGAAAAAGCAAGGCCGUGCCUUCACAUUUGCUCAGAAGGAAAUGUUUAUAGAAAUUUGUCUUCAAUCAAGUACUUGUGCAUGUGUGCGCACUUUGUUUAGGAAAACUCGCCAGCUCGCUUGACUUACCUUUGAAGGCUCCUGCAGGGGCCCAGCUGUCUGGGACCCCUCAGAGGCCUGGGCUCAGCAGCCCCGACCCACCUGGGCCAGAGCCCAGCAAGACUGGCCCCACAGCUGGAUCCUGGGACAAUGGACCUCAC